rnacentral:rRNA from 1 species
UAGAGUUUGAUCAUGGCUCAGAGCGAACGCUGGCGGCAGGCCUAACACAUGCAAGUCGAGCGGCCGUAGCAAUACGGCAGCGGCAGACGGGAGAGUAACACGUGGGAACGCGCCCUUCGGUUCGGAAUAACUCAGGGAAACUUGAGCUAAUACCGGAUACGCCCUUACGGGGAAAGAUUCAUCGCCGAAGGAACGGCCCGCGUCCGAUUAGCUAGUUGGUGAGGUAAUGGCUCACCAAGGCAACGAUCGGUAGCUGGUCUAAGAGGAUGAUCAGCCUCACUGGGACUGAGACACGGCCCAGACUCCUACGGGAGGCAGCAGUGGGGAAUAUUGGACAAUGGGCGCAAGCCUGAUCCAGCCAUGCCGCGUGGGUGAUGAAGGCCCUAGGGUUGUAAAGCCCUUUCGGACGGAACGAAAUCGCGCGGGUUAACAGCCCGCGUGGAUGACGGUACCGUAAGAAGAAGCAUGCGACGUCGGCCCA